rnacentral:rRNA from 1 species
UACAGAGGUCCCAAGCGUUGUUCGGAUUCACUGGGCGUAAAGGGUGCGUAGGUGGUGAGGUAAGUCGGAUGUGAAAGCUCCGAGCUCAACUCGGAAAUGGCAUUGGAAACUACCUUGCUCGGGGGUUUGAGGGGGGACUGGAAUACUUGGUGUAGCAGUGAAAUGCGUAGAUAUCAAGUAGAACACCAGUGGCGAAGGCGAGUCCCUGGAAAACUCCUGACACUGAGGCACGAAAGCUAGGGGAGCAAACAGG